GAUGAAGAACGCAGCGAAAUGCGAUACGUAAUGUGAAUUGCAGAAUUCAGUGAAUCAUCGAGUCUUUGAACGCACAUUGCGCCCCCUGGUAUUCCGGGGGGCAUGCCUGUCCGAGCGUCAUUGCUGCCGUCAAGCACGGCUUGUGUGUUGGGCCUCCGUCCUCCUCCCGGGGGACGGGCCCGAAAGGCAGCGGCGGCACCGCGUCCGGUCCUCGAGCGUAUGGGGCUUCGUCACCCGCUCUUGUAGGCCCGGCCGGCGCUUGCCGACACAUCAAUCUUUUUUCCAGGUUGACCUCGGAUCAGGUAGGGAUACCCGCUGAACUUAAGCAUAUCAAUAAGCGGAGGA
rnacentral:misc_RNA from 1 species